rnacentral:pre_miRNA from 1 species
GGUCCAAAUUUGAAGUAGAGCAGAUAAGAAGGAUCAUCUGAUCCUACUAAAUUACUCUACUACGAAUUUGUGCCC